rnacentral:lncRNA from 1 species
GCAAUUUGACCUAACGUUCUACACGUCGGACCAACAUCGAGAAAGACUCCUAGUAGAAAAUGAAUGGGAAUCUCUGCCAUACGGAAUAGAGGACUUUCCAACUUUGCACGCCAGCGAGGACUGCAUCAUUCUGGGAAAAAUGCCCCCAUAUGGAGAAAAAACGGAAUGCACCUACUGGGUUCGCAAAAGUGUUGUCGGAAAUCGCAAGUGGAGUUGUGACUUCAUGUUCGAUGAAUUUUGCAAGUCACAAGCGAUUGUAGUAAAUCACAAGAACAUAAUUACUUGCAAUUAA